rnacentral:rRNA from 1 species
CCUAAAAAUAAUUUAAGGUGACACCUGCCCAGUGAUUAAAAAAUUUAUUAAAAUAAAAAAUUUUAUUUCAACGGCCGCGGUAUUCUUGACUGUGUUAAUGUAGCAUAAUAAGUAGUCGUUUAAUUGGCGAAUGGUAUGAAUGGUAACACGAAGACUUAACUGUCUUAAAAAUAAGAUAAAAAAAUUAAGAUUAUAGUAAAGACGCUAUAAACAACUGUAAGACGAAAAGACCCUAUAAAGCUUAACUAUAAACUUUAUCUUUAUAAAUUCAAAAAUCAAUAUAGGUAAAGUUGGGUAGUUUAGUUGGGGCAACGACAUUUUAUAAAUAAAGAAUGUAAACAAUAUAAAAUAAUAUAUUUUAUUUAUUGUGUAACUUAUAAGUUUAACAAUCAUAAUUUGGGUUAUAGUGACCUGUUAAAAUAUUAAAAAAUAUUUAACAACAAAUAAAUAAAAGCUACUUUAGGGAUAACAGGUUAAUUUCGUCUUAGAGAUGAUAUUAAAGACGAAGUUUGACACCUCGAUGUUGAAUUAAGAUAUCCUGGUGGUGCAGCAGCUACCAAAGGUAGGUCUGUUCGACCUUAAAAAU